CUCACGUGCUUCGUCAGCAUUUCCGGUUGGAUGUUGGAAAGAAUCAUUUAAACAUUUUAUGGAACAUGCAAGUCCUGCAAGGGUUGUGAGAAGUGCAACUGUUGGCUCUAUUUUGACCCAUUUUAAUUGUUUUAAACGCAUUGAUUGCCAUGAAUUUGCUUCCAAAAGAUUACUGAAGAAAACAAUGUUAUGGAAGAGAACCAUGAUCUUGCUGCUGAUCUGAACAAGAGGGGAAAUGGUCAUGCUAACUUUCCAAGGAAUUUCACAAGACUGGGUUACAUUUGUAACAACAAAAGAUGGGAAAGUGUUCAGUUCUGGUUGACAGGAGGAAGUUCAGGAUAAGAACCAGUGUGAAACUUGCAUUAUGGGUAAGAUUUGAAAUGGUGCAUAAUAUUGCUUCUUUGAUGUUUUACUGACCUCUGUAUUGGUCUAAAUGCCUUCUUGCUUUUAACCCAUGACCUUUAGGAAGGGAAAGUGAUUAACCUUUGCCAGCAAUGUAGGGCCA